rnacentral:rRNA from 1 species
GAGUGGCGAACGGGUGAGUAAUACAUCGGAACGUGCCCUGUCGUGGGGGAUAACUAGUCGAAAGAUUAGCUAAUACCGCAUACGACCUGAGGGUGAAAGCGGGGGACCGUAAGGCCUCGCGCGAUAGGAGCGGCCGAUGUCUGAUUAGCUAGUUGGUGGGGUAAAGGCCCACCAAGGCGACGAUCAGUAGCUGGUCUGAGAGGACGAUCAGCCACACUGGGACUGAGACACGGCCCAGACUCCUACGGGAGGCAGCAGUGGGGAAUUUUGGACAAUGGGGGCAACCCUGAUCCAGCAAUGCCGCGUGUGUGAAGAAGGCCUUCGGGUUGUAAAGCACUUUUGUCCGGAAAGAAAUCCCUUGCCCUAAUACGGCGGGGGGAUGACGGUACCGGAAGAAUAAGCACCGGCUAACUACGUGCCAGCAGCCGCGGUAAUACGUAGGGUGCGAGCGUUAAUCGGAAUUACUGGGCGUAAAGCGUGCGCAGGCGGUUUUGUAAGACAGGCGUGAAAUCCCCGAGCUCAACUUGGGAAUGGCGCUUGUGACUGCAAGGCUAGAGUAUG